GGUGAUGUGAUGUAACCAGGCAGCAUGAUGGAUUGUCUAUCCGUUCGUGCGGGUUCAAAUCCCGUCAUCACCG
rnacentral:tRNA from 1 species